UACGGAAGACGAACAUCUGCG
rnacentral:misc_RNA from 1 species